GACGAACGCUGGCGGCGCGCCUAACACAUGCAAGUCGAGCGAUGAAAGUUGUUCAGAUCCUUCGGGUGACGAACUUCCGGAUUAGCGGCGAACGGGUGAGUAACGCGUGAGGAACCUGCCUCUCACAACGGGAUAGCCUCGGGAAACCGGGAUUAAUACCGUAUGACACUAUCAGAUGGCAUCAUCAGGUAGUUAAAGUGCUAGCGGUGAGAGAUGGCCUCGCGUCUGAUUAGUUAGUUGGUGGGGUAACGGCCUACCAAGACGACGAUCAGUAACCGGCCUGAGAGGGUGAACGGUCACAUUGGAACUGAGACACGGUCCAAACUCCUACGGGAGGCAGCAGUGGGGAAUCUUGCACAAUGGGGGAAACCCUGAUGCAGCGACGCCGCGUGAGCGAUGAAGGUUUUCGAAUCGUAAAGCUCUGUCCUAUGGGAAGAUAAUGACGGUACCAUAGGAGGAAGCCCCGGCUAACUACGUGCCAGCAGCCGCGGUAAUACGUAGGGGGCGAGCGUUGUCCGGAAUUACUGGGCGUAAAGGGUUCGCAGGCGGCAUGACAAGUCCGAUGUAAAAGGCGAAAGCUCAACUUUCGUAAGCAUCGGAAACUGUCAAGCUUGAGCGAAGGAGAGGCAAGUGGAAUUCCUAGUGUAGCGGUGGAAUGCGUAGAUACUAGGAGGAAUACCGGUGGCGAAGGCGACUUGCUGGACUUCAACUGACGCUGAGGAACGAAAGCGUGGGUAGCAAACAGG
rnacentral:rRNA from 1 species